AUUUGAUUAUUGAGUAAAGUGUAAACACUUCAUAUCCCUAUAAUACUCCUAUGGCUUCUCAUUUCAAUCAGUUCUUAUUGGGAAUUCUAAUUAUGGUUUUGAUUCUACCUUCAGGUAAUUUGUAGAUUAAUUUCAAUUUUGUAAUGUUUUGUAAUUUUGUUUCUUCUGUGUAUUCAAAAGAUGACAGUGAUAGUUUUAUAUUUGUUUAAUAUUGAAAGUUAAAAAAAGAAAUGAAAAAAAAUUCUUAUAACAAUAUUAUAUUUUUAAUUUCAGGACUGAUGGCUGCAAAACCACUUCCUACAGAAGCAGUAAGAGUAGACAGUGAUCCACCACCGGAUUGCAAUGGAUUGAAAUGCAGUUUUGGAACUGAAUUUUGUACAAUAUGUUGCAAUGGACAAGGAUCUAAACAGGGUCAAUGUGUCAGGAAAGGAACC
rnacentral:lncRNA from 1 species